AUUGAACGCUGGCGGCAGGCCUAACACAUGCAAGUCGAGCGAGCGGCGGACGGGUGAGUAAUUUCUGGGAAACUGCCUGAUGGAGGGGGAUAACUACUGGAAACGGUAGCUAAUAUCGCAUACCAUCAGAUGUGCCCAGGUGGGAUUAGCUAGUAGGUGGGGUAAUGGCUCACCUAGGCGACGAUCCCUAGCUGGUCUGAGAGGAUGACCAGCCACACUGGGACUGAGACACGGUCCAGACUCCUACGGGAGGCAGCAGUGGGGAAUAUUGCACAAUGGGCGCAAGCCUGAUGCAGCCAUGCCGCGUGUGUGAAGAAGGUCUUCGGAUUGUAAAGCACUUUCAGCGGGGAGGCGUUACUCGCAGAAGAAGCACCGGCUAACUCCGUGCCAGCAGCCGCGGUAAUUC
rnacentral:rRNA from 1 species